UGGCCUGGUAUUUGUGCUUGUUGGCCACGUGUGCUCUCCCAUGAGGUGCUGGCACCCUUGGGGCCCUUCUUCACCAAGAUAUGGCUGAGCUCGAUGCCUCUGUCCUCUUAUCCUGUGUACUGCAGAGCUUGGUCUAGUGGAGCUUUUCCUUGCCCUCGAGUUCUAGCCAGUGUUCCUCACGAGAUCGAGGUAGUUCCUGUGUUCAAACCAGUGUUAGCUCCUCUUCUCAGUCACUAGGUUGUUCUGCCUUUGUGCUGCGCCUGCCAACCCUAUUGUCUGGUGACCACACCCACCGAAACCUCCCACCUCGCUGUGGCCAAAGCGUUCCAGUGAGUUGCAUGCCCGUGUGGUCUUCGUUCCGUGGUCUUCAAAGGAGAAGUUUUAUUCCCCUAUCUUUGGGUUAGUUACUUCAUGUGGAGGACUUGAAGCUUAGAAGGUUUUUAUAUAUAUCUCUUAUGGAAAGGCUUCACCCUUCCAAUUAUUGUAGUUAAGUUAUGCCCUUCGAGUACUAUCAGGACUUGUAAUAAAUACAUCGCUUUCUACCAUGUAAAACUUGAGUUCUGGAAUGUAAAGUGUACUUUGUGAAAGUCUUCCGCUCUA